rnacentral:lncRNA from 1 species
UAAUUUUUAUAAAGCUAUCGGUAAAUAAUUCUUAUAGCAUAAAAGUUAAUUAUAUUCAUAUAUACUAUAAAGCAAAUAACCAAAGCAUAAAAUUACUUUUACAGUGACACGUGGGCCCACAUCUAACCAAAAUGUAUCAAAAGCUGAAAAACCUACAGCUUUUGGUGAUUCAAGUCCAAAUGAAGGUCCUUGUCAAAGUUAGCUAACUAUGGAAUUCCCCGAGCCUGAAAUGUGAGGAAAUAAGGGUGGUGAGAUUAUAAAAUCCCAGUGAGUAAACAGACACCAUCUAAACUAUCUAAAGACGAG